rnacentral:rRNA from 1 species
GUGGGGAAUUUUGGACAAUGGGCGCAAGCCUGAUCCAGCAAUGCCGCGUGCAGGAAGAAGGCCUUCGGGUUGUAAACUGCUUUUGUACGGAACGAAACGGUCCGGGUUAAUACCCUGGGCUAAUGACGGUACCGUAAGAAUAAGCACCGGCUAACUACGUGCCAGCAGCCGCGGUAAUACGUAGGGUGCAAGCGUUAAUCGGAAUUACUGGGCGUAAAGCGUGCGCAGGCGGUUUUGUAAGACAGGCGUGAAAUCCCCGGGCUCAACCUGGGAAUUGCGCUUGUGACUGCAAGGCUGGAGGGCGGCAGAGGGGGAUGGAAUUCCGCGUGUAGCAGUGAAAUGCGUAGAUAUGCGGAGGAACACCGAUGGCGAAGGCAAUCCCCUGGGCCUGCACUGACGCUCAUGCACGAAAGCGUGGGGAGCAAACAGGAUUAGAUACCCCGGUAGUCC